GCUUUACUGUUCCCUGGGAUUGGGUUUGGGCCUUUCUUGCGCAGCUUAGGUGGGAGGCAGAGAAGAUUUCCUUCCGGGGAAAUUAGAGCCACCAAUGAGACACCACCCUAGAAAGGCUAGAAUUCUAACUUUGUACCUAGCAGAAGGUCAGAGGACAUUCCCAGGUAGACAGUUUCUAUGGGGCGUAGGCCUCCUAAAAAGUAACGGAGGCGUGCAAAGGUUUCCUCAGGCUGGACGGAAAUCAGCCUUUGAGUGUAAAGGCAGAAGGAAGCUUGACUGCAAGACUUACACGUCGAGCAGGGACGAAAGUCGGCCUUAGUGAUCCGACGGUGCCGAGUGGAAGGGCCGUCGCUCAACGGAUAAAAGUUA
rnacentral:rRNA from 1 species